CGUUUCUCCUCAGGCUCACAUUUGCCAAAAUCUGCGUUUUGUCUGGACACAAGACGUCGCACACCUUCAUCAUGCAGCUUUUCAGAAACUCUCCCUCGCACAGAGCCAUCACCACCAUCAAAGACUUCACCCACAGGAGCCCCCUCCUCACUCCACAGCUAUGAGGAUUUCACACCACCUUCUCCCACUACAACCCUUCAUAUUCAUGAUUCCAAAUGCGUCUUCUGAGCGCAUCUGAGUCACGUGACGGCACAGUAACAAAUCCCAGCAGGGCAGGAAGAAGGGGGCGGAGCAAAGUGCGUCUGCCGCAUAAGAAGAGGUGUUCACACAGACAGAGCUGCUUUUUCAUCCACAGCGAGUAAAUAGUGAACCUCCAGGAGAGAAACAAACUAAAGUAUUGAUCAUAUACCACUACCAACGUUUGGAUCGAUAUCUGCAUCGAUCUGCACACCCUUGUCUCCUGGAUCGUAGCUGAGAUCAGCGUGAACCACGUGGGUCUCUGC